rnacentral:rRNA from 1 species
CCAAUCGAACCCGGAGAUAGCUGGUUCUCCCCGAAAUAGCUUUAGGGCUAGCGUCGAGGUAGAGAGUUGCGUGAAGGUAGAGCACUGAAUAUGUGAUGGCCCCAUCUCGGGGUACUGAGCAUAAUCAAACUGCGAAUGUCACGGAAACAUACUCGGCAGUCAGACAGCGGGUGAUAAGGUCCGUUGUCAAGAGGGAAACAGCCCAGACCAUCAGCUAAGGUCCCAAAAUGUAUGCUAAGUGGAAAAGGAUGUGGAGAUGUACAGACAACUAGGAGGUUGGCUCAGAAGCAGCCAUCCUUUAAAGAGUGCGUAACAGCUCACUAGUCGAAUGACUCUGCGCCGAUAAUUUACCGGGGCUAAGCAUACUACCGAAGCUAUGGAUCCCAAGGGAUGGUAGGGGAGCGUUCCAUGAACGGAGAAGCGCGAUCGAGAGGACGCGUGGAGAUCAUGGAAGAGAGAAUGCCGGUGUGAGUAGCGGAACGUGGGUGAGAAUCCCACGCACCGAAAACCCAAGGUUUCCAGAGGAAGGUUCGUCCGCUCUGGGUAAGUCGGGACCUAAGGCGAGGCCGAGAGGCGUAGUCGAUGGACAACAGGUAGAGAUUCCUGUACUCAUAUAUAUGUGAAGGAAUGACGGAGAGAGGAAGCUGCAGCCAGCGGCUGGAAGAGCUGGUGCAAGCGAGAUAUCGGGAUGGCAGGCAAAUCCACCAUCCGAAACGAGAAGGCGUGAAGCGUACGGAAAGCUAAGGCGAGUACGGAAGGCAGUGGAGGAGCUUCCAAGAAAAGUUUCUAACGAAAGUAUAUGUGACCCGUACCGAAAAUGGACACACAUGGGUGAGGAGAGAAUCCUAAGGUGAGCGAGAGAACUAUAGCUAAGGAACUCUGCAAAAUGACUCCGUAACUUAGGGAGAAGGAGUGCUCAUAGAGAUAUGAGCCGCAGUGAAACGGCCCAAGCGACUGUUUACCAAAAACACAGCUCUCUGCUAAGCCGCAAGGCGAAGUAUAGGGGGUGACGCCUGCCCGGUGCUGGAAGGUUAAGGGGAGGGGUUAACGCAAGUGAAGCCCUGAACUGAAGCCCCAGUAAACGGCGGCCGUAACUAUAACGGUCCUAAGGUAGCGAAAUUCCUUGUCAGGUAAGUUCUGACCCGCACGAAAGGCGUAACGAUUUGGGCGCUGUCUCAGCUGUAGACUCGGUGAAGUCUUAGUACCUGUGAAGAUGCAGGUUACCCGCGACUAGACGGAAAGACCCCAUGGAGCUUCACUGCAGGUUGAUAUUGGGAUUUGAUGCAGCAUGUACAGGAUAGGUAGGAGGCAAAGAGAUGGAUACGCCAGUAUUCAAGGAGCCGCUGUUGGGAUACUACCCCUGUUGUAUUGGAUUUCUAACCGGACGACGUAAAGCCGUUGACGGGACAGUGUCAGUCGGGCAGUUUGACUGGGGCGGUCGCCUCCCAAAGAGUAACGGAGGCGCCCAAAGAUACCCUCAGCUUGGAUGGAAACCAAGCGCAGAGUGCAAAGGCAAAAGGGUGUUUGACUGCGAGACCUACAAGUCGAGCAGGGACGAAAGUCGGGCUUAGUGAUCCGGCGGUGCUGAAUGGAAAGGCCGUCGCUCAACGGAUAAAAGCUACCCUGGGGAUAACAGGCUGAUCUCCCCCAAGAGUCCACAUCGACGGGGAGGUU